GUGCAGUGAACACCUUCCGUUCCACAGAUAGCCUCUCAUCCUAAUGUGAUUGAUUUCCCCUUUUCUCCAGGGAUUAUCUGAAGUGGACAGCAAAAGAAACCCAGGCCAUCAACACCUUUGGUGAAAAGAACUACUAGGAGUUCGGUCUUGGGCCCAGGCCCACUGCUGACAGCAUGCUGGAAGGAUGCACUUGCGGUCUAGACUCCCCCUCCCGCCUCCUGGAGUGGGGGGGCGGCGUGGGCAACGGUUGGGAAGCUGUCUGGAGGCCUCUUGCAGAGACAUCAGAAUGCUUUGUUAGAACAAGCGCUGGGGAUCCAUCCUGUGGCUCACCCCAUCCAGCUGAAACCGGAUGUUGCUGCCAAGUUCCUUGGAAGGCUAAACAUUGUUGCCCUUGAACAUCUGCGUCUGCAAAAAGUUCUAGAUGUCAACCUUGUGACUAUACUAAUAAAAUCCUUGAAAGGUGAACAGAGGACAAACUGUACCAAGCCUCUGGUCCAAUGGCAUCCUGGACUGGAGGGGGCUGCUCUGUGCGUCCUGGAGGUCUCUCCCUAACAUGCGUCAGGGCAGAGGAAGUCUUGAGAACCUUGUGGACUUAUCUGUGGCAUCUCGAGGGUCAUACCGGACGCCGGACACCGGACACUUAUAAAAACUUACAAGUGUUAGCAAAUGUUCUGGGUCAUUCAGAGACUCACCAGUAUAUUAAUAAAUUUUA